CGCGCGCGGCCGGAGACGGGCUCGUGUUUUUGCUUGGCCCCGAGGAGGAGGACGAAUAAUGGCUACAAGAAUCGCUUCUCCGCAUGUGGAGUGUAUUGUGGUCGGCUCUGGCUCGGGGAUAAACCGUGCCCUGACAGUUACAGGCCGGAGGGGAAGCAGUUUGCUCUUGAGAGCCCGGUUGUGAGCGUCGGAGAGGGAGAGCGGGAGAACUCCCCAUGGAUGCGGAAAGAGCGGAUGACAAAUACCUUUAUCAGAUGCCAGCAACAAUUUGAAAAUUACCACUGAUAAAAACUUACAGUUAAUUGGAAUGGCCUUUUCCAUGGAAAUGGUGUUUUGGUGAAUAAGAAGAAGGACCAAUUGCGUCAUCCAACCAGGCAGGAAGUUGCUGACAAUGUCACAGAUGGCAUCUUCAUAGAUGUGUGGCAACAGUGUCUACCAUCGACAAAGAGUUAUCGACUUGUACAGACUCUUCAGUUCGCCUUGUCUGUGCCAUAAAAUGGCUUACCAAGCCUCUUGAACAACAUCUUCUCACUCAUGCCCCCUAUCACCUAGAAAGAUGAUGUCCACGACUACAUAUUCUGGUAGCUGUCUGAAUGAAUGUUAGACUGAUUUUGCAAUGACCAUCACAGAGCUAUUUGAGCCUGAUUAUGAAGUCCACUACCAUACAGUUUUGCAUCUCUUGCUGAGUCCUUUACUGAAACCCAACAAUCUAACUGAAGAAUGGUAGUUGUUGGAUACUUUUAUUUAGUAUCUUCUGGAUUUACUACUGGAGCGUUAUGGAACUGGAAUCUAGGAAAGCUUCAAAGACCCAAUUACAGCAGAAAGGAUUUGGAAAUAUCUUAAAUCGUUGGAAUUUCAAAUGAAAAAUUCAACCUAAAUGUUUUGGGAGCACAUUGCCUUUGAACAACUUCAUAUGAAUGAAACUUUCCAGCAGGAGCUACUUGUGAACAGUUGAUGGAUUAUAAUUUCACUUGAGACUCAAAUAAUUUAUACAAAUUUUUUGAGUGAACUGAGAUUGCUGAAGAUGAGGGGAUGUAAUGAAACCCAGUUAAAAAUAAUUUUCAUUAAAAGUUGUACAUUAAAGUAAUAAAGCAAUGAAGUUAUUUUUAAAA